GAACACGGAGCUUGCUCUGUGGGAUCAGUGGCGAACGGGUGAGUAACACGUGAGCAACCUGCCCCUGACUCUGGGAUAAGCGCUGGAAACGGCGUCUAAUACUGGAUAUGUGACGUGACCGCAUGGUCUGCGUCUGGAAAGAAUUUCGGUUGGGGAUGGGCUCGCGGCCUAUCAGCUUGUUGGUGAGGUAAUGGCUCACCAAGGCGUCGACGGGUAGCCGGCCUGAGAGGGUGACCGGCCACACUGGGACUGAGACACGGCCCAGACUCCUACGGGAGGCAGCAGUGGGGAAUAUUGCACAAUGGGCGCAAGCCUGAUGCAGCAACGCCGCGUGAGGGACGACGGCCUUCGGGUUGUAAACCUCUUUUAGCAGGGAAGAAGCGAAAGUGACGGUACCUGCAGAAAAAGCGCCGGCUAACUACGUGCCAGCAGCCGCGGUAAUACGUAGGGCGCAAGCGUUAUCCGGAAUUAUUGGGCGUAAAGAGCUCGUAGGCGGUUUGUCGCGUCUGCUGUGAAAUCCGGAGGCUCAACCUCCGGCCUGCAGUGGGUACGGGCAGACUAGAGUGCGGUAGGGGAGAUUGGAAUUCCUGGUGUAGCGGUGGAAUGCGCAGAUAUCAGGAGGAACACCGAUGGCGAAGGCAGAUCUCUGGGCCGUAACUGACGCUGAGGAGCGAAAGGGUGGGGAGCAAACAGGCUUAGAUACCCUGGUAGUCCACCCCGU
rnacentral:rRNA from 1 species